rnacentral:rRNA from 1 species
UUUAUUGUACUUAUAUUUAAGAUACGUAUCAUUUAACCCAUUCAUGAUGCUGUAUGCAAAACUAAAAUUAAGAAAAAAUCAAAAUCAAAACACAGCACAACAAAUAGAAAUGGAAGACGUUCCAUUACCCCUACUAUAUCCAUCAAUCCCAGCCCAAGUAUAGGCUUCUCUUUAAGGGAAGGGAAGUGACAUAUUCACAUACAAAACCACAUAACGUAGAGUAAACAUAUUGAAAAGCCGCAUACGUAAACAAUAAGUGACCACCAUGCUAAUGUGGAUCAAAUAACAAAAAUAUCCACUCUGCAUUUUGACACCCCCAUACUGUAUGCCAUCUGCGCAGUAUGCAUUCUAAUAAACAAAUUCUUUGACAGCGGCACUUAGCCAUUCUUGUAAACAAAUCUUAAAGUCUGCCUGCUCUCUCUGAGGCUUCUCCUCCACUUAAGAAUCCAAGAGCAAUGCUCUCCCAAAAACACUAACAUAUUCUUUAAGCAAGCACAGAGGCUUCUCCUCAUUUUCACUUUCAUUUGAUUUUUAGUCUUAAGCUGAACGUUAAUCAAUAAACAACACAAUCGAUCCCGAAAUUUUGAUUCGUUUUAUUUUGGCAAAACUCAAUUUUCAGCGUUGGUCUUAGUUCAUAUUCGGAACGGUCCAUUUAAUAGACUCACAACUAUUUAUUGCAACCAUUUAUUUGCAAUUAUAUUUAUAUUAUUUAUGCCUCUAACUGGAACGUACCUUGAGCAUAUAUGCUGUGACCCGAAAGAUGGUGAACUAUACUUGAUCAGGUUGAAGUCAGGGGAAACCCUGAUGGAAGACCGAAACAGUUCUGACGUGCAAAUCGAUUGUCAGAAUUGAGUAUAGGGGCGAAAGACCAAUCGAACCAUCUAGUAGCUGGUUCCUUCCGAAGUUUCCCUCAGGAUAGCUGGUGCAUUUUAAUAUUAUAUAAAAUAAUCUUAUCUGGUAAAGCGAAUGAUUAGAGGCCUUAGGGUCGAAACGAUCUUAACCUAUUCUCAAACUUUAAAUGGGUAAGAACCUUAACUUUCUUGAUAUGAAGUUCAAGGUUAUGAUAUAAUGUGCCCAGUGGGCCACUUUUGGUAAGCAGAACUGGCGCUGUGGGAUGAACCAAACGUAAUGUUACGGUGCCCAAAUUAACAACUCAUGCAGAUACCAUGAAAGGCGUUGGUUGCUUAAAACAGCAGGACGGUGAUCAUGGAAGUCGAAAUCCGCUAAGGAGUGUGUAACAACUCACCUGCCGAAGCAACUAGCCCUUAAAAUGGAUGGCGCUUAAGUUGUAUACCUAUACAUUACCGCUAAAGUAGAUGAUUUAUAUUACUUGUGAUAUAAAUUUUGAAACUUUAGUGAGUAGGAAGGUACAAUGGUAUGCGUAGAAGUGUUUGGCGUAAGCCUGCAUGGAGCUGCCAUUGGUACAGAUCUUGGUGGUAGUAGCAAAUAAUCGAAUGAGACCUUGGAGGACUGAAGUGGAGAAGGGUUUCGUGUGAACAGUGGUUGAUCACGAGUUAGUCGGUCCUAAGUUCAAGGCGAAAGCCGAAAAUUUUCAAGUAAAACAAAAAUGCCUAACUAUAUAAACAAAGCGAAUUAUAAUACACUUGAAUAAUUUUGAACGAAAGGGAAUACGGUUCCAAUUCCGUAACCUGUUGAGUAUCCGUUUGUUAUUAAAUAUGGGCCUCGUGCUCAUCCUGGCAACAGGAACGACCAUAAAGAAGCCGUCGAGAGAUAUCGGAAGAGUUUUCUUUUCUGUUUUAUAGCCGUACUACCAUGGAAGUCUUUCGCAGAGAGAUAUGGUAGAUGGGCUAGAAGAGCAUGACAUAUACUGUUGUGUCGAUAUUUUCUCCUCGGACCUUGAAAAUUUAUGGUGGGGACACGCAAACUUCUCAACAGGCCGUACCAAUAUCCGCAGCUGGUCUCCAAGGUGAAGAGUCUCUAGUCGAUAGAAUAAUGUAGGUAAGGGAAGUCGGCAAAUUAGAUCCGUAACUUCGGGAUAAGGAUUGGCUCUGAAGAUUGAGAUAGUCGGGCUUGAUUGGGAAACAAUAACAUGGUUUAUGUGCUCGUUCUGGGUAAAUAGAGUUUCUAGCAUUUAUGUUAGUUACUUGUUCCCCGGAUAGUUUAGUUACGUAGCCAAUUGUGGAACUUUCUUGCUAAAAUUUUUAAGAAUACUAUUUGGGUUAAACCAAUUAGUUCUUAUUAAUUAUAACGAUUAUCAAUUAACAAUCAAUUCAGAACUGGCACGGACUUGGGGAAUCCGACUGUCUAAUUAAAACAAAGCAUUGUGAUGGCCCUAGCGGGUGUUGACACAAUGUGAUUUCUGCCCAGUGCUCUGAAUGUCAAAGUGAAGAAAUUCAAGUAAGCGCGGGUCAACGGCGGGAGUAACUAUGACUCUCUUAAGGUAGCCAAAUGCCUCGUCAUCUAAUUAGUGACGCGCAUGAAUGGAUUAACGAGAUUCCUACUGUCCCUAUCUACUAUCUAGCGAAACCACAGCCAAGGGAACGGGCUUGGAAUAAUUAGCGGGGAAAGAAGACCCUUUUGAGCUUGACUCUAAUCUGGCAGUGUAAGGAGACAUAAGAGGUGUAGAAUAAGUGGGAGAUAUUAGACCUCGGUUUGGUAUCGUCAAUGAAAUACCACUACUCUUAUUGUUUCCUUACUUACUUGAUUAAAUGGAACGUGUAUCAUUUCCUAGCCAUUAUACGGAUAUAUUUAUUAUAUCUUAUGGUAUUGGGUUUUGAUGCAAGCUUCUUGAUCAAAGUAUCACGAGUUUGUUAUAUAAUCGCAAACAAAUUCUUUAAUAAAACGAUGCAUUUAUGUAUUUUUGAUUUGAAAAUUUGGUAUAACUCCAAUUACUCAGGUAUGAUCCAAUUCAAGGACAUUGCCAGGUAGGGAGUUUGACUGGGGCGGUACAUCUCUCAAAUAAUAACGGAGGUGUCCCAAGGCCAGCUCAGUGCGGACAGAAACCACACAUAGAGCAAAAGGGCAAAUGCUGACUUGAUCUCGGUGUUCAGUACACACAGGGACAGCAAAAGCUCGGCCUAUCGAUCCUUUUGGUUUAAAGAGUUUUUAACAAGAGGUGUCAGAAAAGUUACCAUAGGGAUAACUGGCUUGUGGCGGCCAAGCGUUCAUAGCGACGUCGCUUUUUGAUCCUUCGAUGUCGGCUCUUCCUAUCAUUGUGAAGCAAAAUUCACCAAGCGUUGGAUUGUUCACCCAUGCAAGGGAACGUGAGCUGGGUUUAGACCGUCGUGAGACAGGUUAGUUUUACCCUACUAAUGACAAAACGUUGUUGCGACAGCAUUCCUGCGUAGUACGAGAGGAACCGCAGGUACGGACCAAUGGCACAAUACUUGUUCGAGCGAACAGUGGUAUGACGCUACGUCCGUUGGAUUAUGCCUGAACGCCUCUAAGGUCGUAUCCGUGCUGGACUGCAAUGAUAAAUAAGGGGCAAUUUGCAUUGUAUGGCUUCUAAACCAUUUAAAGUUUAUAAUUUACUUUAUAAACGACAAUGGAUGUGAUGCCAAUGUAAUUUGUAACAUAGUAAAUUGGGAGGAUCUUCGAUCACCUGAUGCCGCGCUAGUUACAUAUAAAAGCAUUAUUU